UACAGAGGUGGCAAGCGUUGUUCGGAUUCAUUGGGCGUAAAGGGUGUGUAGGUGGCGCGCUAAGUCGGGUGUGAAAUUUCGGAGCUUAACUCCGAAACUGCAUUUGAUACUGGCGUGCUUGAGGACUGGAGAGGAGACUGGAAUUCAUGGUGUAGCAGUGAAAUGCGUAGAGAUCAUGAGGAAGACCAGUGGCGAAGGCGGGUCUCUGGACAGUUCCUGACACUGAGACACGAAGGCCAGGGGAGCAAACGGG
rnacentral:rRNA from 1 species